GUGAGGAAUUUUCCGCAAUGGGCGAAAGCCUGACGGAGCAAUUCCGCGUGAAGGAUGAAGGCCUAUGGGUUGUAAACUUCUUUUCUCAGAAAAGAAUUAUGACGGUAUCUGAGGAAUAAGCAUCGGCUAACUCUGUGCCAGCAGCCGCGGUAAGACAGAGGAUGCAAGCGUUAUCCGGAAUGAUUGGGCGUAAAGCGUCUGUAGGUUGUUUAAAAAGUAUUCUGUCAAAGAUUAGGGCUUAACCCUAGAUAGGCAGAAUAAACUUUUAAGCUAGAGUUUGGUAGAGGCAGAGGGAAUUCCCGGUGGAGCGGUGAAAUGCGUAGAUAUCGGGAGGAACACCAAAGGCGAAGGCACUCUGCUGGGCCAAUACUAACACUGAGAGACGAAAGCGAGGGGAGCAAAUGGGAUUAGAAACCCUGGUAGUCC
rnacentral:rRNA from 1 species